UACGGAGGAUCCAGGCGUUAUCCGGAAUCAUUGGGUUUAAAGGGUCCGUAGGCGGUUUGGUAAGUCAGUGGUGAAAGCCCAUCGCUCAACGGUGGAACGGCCAUUGAUACUGCCAGACUUGAAUUAUUAGGAAGUAACUAGAAUAUGUAGUGUAGCGGUGAAAUGCUUAGAGAUUACAUGGAAUACCAAUUGCGAAGGCAGGUUACUACUAAUGGAUUGACGCUGAUGGACGAAAGCGUGGGUAGCGAACAGG
rnacentral:rRNA from 1 species